rnacentral:rRNA from 1 species
AUUGAACGCUGGCGGCAUGCUUUACACAUGCAAGUCGAACGGCAGCGCGGGCUUCGGCCUGGCGGCGAGUGGCGAACGGGUGAGUAAUACAUCGGAACGUGCCCAGUAGUGGGGGAUAGCUCGGCGAAAGCCGGAUUAAUACCGCAUACGACCUGAGGGUGAAAGCGGGGGAUCUUCGGACCUCGCGCUAUUGGAGCGGCCGAUGGCAGAUUAGCUAGUUGGUGGGGUAAAGGCCUACCAAGGCGACGAUCUGUAGCUGGUCUGAGAGGACGACCAGCCACACUGGAACUGAGACACGGCCCAGACUCCUACGGGAGGCAGCAGUGGGGAAUUUUAGACAAUGGGCGAAAGCCUGAUCCAGCAAUGCCGCGUGUGUGAUGAAGGCCUUCGGGUUGUAAAGCACUUUUGGCGGGAACGAAAAGGACUGUGCCAAUACCACGGUUCGAUGACGGUACCCGCAGAAUAAGCACCGGCUAACUACGUG